GGGGGGGGGGGGGCAUUAGAGGGCCGGCAGGUAGUAAUUGCCCUCCGGGUUUCAGCUCGGCUCAGACUCUCCUCAUCGAGAUUAACGCUGCGGACAGGGCCGGGCGGCCCGGGGGGGCAGCGUGGCCCUCAGCGUGACGUCACGGACCCCUCAUCAGAGGCCGCUGACAUUUACUGUAUCGCUUUGGAGAUGUAAGAGCACUUAGCCGCGAGGCAGGGAGGCACUUUUCAUCGUCGCUUUGAUGCCUUCCUCCUCCUACUUGCAGUGACGGUAAAAGCAGUCACACACACACACACACACACACACACACACACACGCACACAUAUAAAAGAACCAUACUCUAAUUGAGGUCGACUGCACUGCUUUUGCAUCCAUUCCGACAGGGAUACACACUUUUCUCAGGGUCCCUCUUGUUGUGGUGCGACUUAGAAGAAGAAGAAGAUCCACAGACCUAGUAGGGGGGUUUCUGUGUGAUGGAGCAGGGCGGUAAGCAGGUGCAGAUAUCAAGCAGCUAGUUGUGUCUUUUUUUUUGGCCUUUGAUCAGAAGGAUAAUAACAUUCUCAUAACUCAUACAGUAAAUAUGAAGCUACUGACGGAAGCGGCUCAGCUCAGCGGGAAAGACCGGAAACAGGGAGACUGCUUGCAUAGUUAUUUUCAAAACUCACUAUGUUGUUAAUUAUAAAAACAGCACGUUUGACAGGUUUGUCACAUGGAGGACCAGGUAUCAGACAAGGUGGCAGACUCCUCAUGCGACUCACAAGAAACAAGACGCGUUUAGUCAUCAGCAGAGCUCGUAAAGUCUACUGAGCUAUAGAGAGAUAAGAAAUGUCACAAAGGCAGAGAAAGUGAGUCAUUCCAUCCGGCGUGAUGGACAUGUGACCACACACACACACACACACGCAGACACGCUCUCUGCCCGGCGGAGGGGGAUAUGCGGUGGUGUGGAAUAGAGAGCUUUUUAGUGAAUAAAAGCUUUGACAUCCCCUCUGCCCCGUGUCCCCGCCGCCAUUCCCAUCUUCUGUUUCCUCCAGCUGCCCUCACGUCACCAGAGCAUUUCCACCAGAGCACGUCGAGCAGCAGCGAACACAAUUACGCCCGAUGUAAUGAAAUCCCGCUGUGCUCUGGUUAAUGGACAUGUUGGGGAACAGGGUCAGUGGGUGGACUAAGACUGUGUGUGCGUGUGCAGACAAUGCAGGCAGCUGUCAAGUGUUUCUUUUACGAUACAAAAUGGACCACCAGGCGCACUUCUCUCAGCUUAGUGAUCUCUACCCAGAGUGUAUGCCUCCCCACUUAGAUACGAUUUUAUCUCUCCAAUAUAAAGUAUCUAUUCGAGAAGUUACGGUGGAUAGGAGUGUGCCCAUUAGACGUUUUCUUAACUAAUGACGUAAAAAUUGUGGUGUUUAGUCUGGCUGAUCAACAGAGUGAUGUGAUUCUAUCUCAGCCUUUUAGAUGCUGCCGGGAGAUAAAAACAUGUACCUGGAUAGGUUGUUGCAUAAGCGCUUAUCAAAAAAAAAAGAAGUUAAAAUCCUUUUUCCACAGCGUCUCCAAUAACACGUUUGGUUUCAACUUCACUGCCAAGUUGCCUGUGCAAGAACACUAGACUAAAAAACACAUUACACCAAACGUGACACAUCAUUAUUCUCGGUGUGACCUUAUCCAGCGGCUCCUCAAUGCACAAACUGAUGGAUUAAAUACUCAUUGACAUUUAAUUUCUGCAUCACAUCGUAGCAACCAGUGAGUCUCAUCAUACGCUGUACUGUAGACGUCAUCGCAGGCAGGACUCAGCCGCACGUGUUCAUGUCUGCAAAGAUACACGCAUUCCUGUGUUACAUUGACAAUGUGCAUCUACGGGCUAAUGCUUGAAUUAAAAAGUAAUAGUCGAAUGUUGUCUGUUAUAUUUAAGGGGGGAUGUCUCCACAAGAGCAGACAGGCCCUGGGUGUCCAGAGAGGAGUUGCUGUAGAGAGGGACUGCAGGUCGGCCUCAAGGCAGAGCGAGCAUGCCGGUUGCAUUUGAUCCUGUCUUUCACCCUUCUUCUAAGCACGGUAACAUUUACCUUACAUCUCAAACCAAAGCUUCAGCAUUUUUUUGCUGCCCAACCUAAACAACAUAUUCCUCACACAACGACAUUGGAACAUUAUUUAAAAGAAACUGCUCCGAACGCGUCCUCAUCUGGCUCUGUCUUAAAAUGUCUCAAACUGGUGCUGAGAGAUUUACAGCAAAGAUGCAGCUCUGCUUUCUCUCAGCCAUCACUGACGUUUGUUGGAAGGGUGCUAUUUGUAAACUGGCUUGGAACUGGUGUGUGUAAACGUGGAAAGAAUCCCCGGCGUUGUUUUUUGCACCAAUCCCGGUUUAUGUUCAAACGCUUGUAGUUUAUAUGAGCAGGAAUAAAAGCAUUACAGCACAGUGAUUUAUUGCAGCACACCGGUCCGGUCUCUACCCCCCCCCCCCGUCCUCAGCCUGCAGCCCGUUGGUAACUGCGUCCUCUGGGGUAUUAAUCAGCUUACUGGCUGCCAUAGAGGUAGGUGAGCUCCCUGCGCUGAUGCACAGGCUUUCUAAUCAAAACUUCCUGCACCCAUUGCCGUGUGUUUAUAACGCGGAUUAAAUGACCACUUUGAUCUCUCGAAGCCAAUUUAGGCCUUGCUGCCGGAUCACACACACACAUUCGCUUGUGCGCAAACAAACACUCACACAAGAAGAUACAUGUGAAACACGCACAAUCCAGCACACAGCGUAGGUCUCGGAAUACGGACAAGCAGUUAAGAUUUAUGAUUCAGGAGCAUUAAUGCAGCAUAAAAUUCCAUUUUGUUUCCCACAAUAGACCCGGAUAAUUGUUCUCCGGGGAGCUCGUGGGCUGCAUUUGAAAUCUCCGUUGGAAACAAUGGCGCAUUUUCAUCUGCUUACUGAACUGAACACUCAGGUGCAUAAUGCACACAUCCAUCAAACCUGCCUCCACCGCCCGUCUCCACGCUACCCAGAAACGAUUUGUGCAUCCGGCGCCUCGCACUUCGGUGCAAACGCUUUAGUGAAAUGAUUCGAGGGGGUUUUCAAACGACACUCACCUGGGGAAUUGAACCCCGGGCUUAGUGAUCACAUGACAGCCGGGAAGCUGGCGGGCUGACGGAGAAGUGGGGUAAUCAUGAGUUAUGUGAUAGGAGCAUGAAGUAAUACGUCAGGGUGUUGGCCUGGUGCGUGUCUGCUGCUCUCUUCGGGUCAACUAAUGAAACCCUCUGUCUAUCGUGUGUUUGACUGUUUCUUGCUGGACUUUUCUUUCUCCACGCGCUCCACAUUUGACAAAUUUAAUGUCGCCCGGCUUGCGUGAGUACUGUUGAAACUCGUCGGUAGUCAUUCAAACAGCACGUUCAGGAAGAACGCUUCAGUUUCAUGGAGGUUUGCUGUAAAAUUCCCCUUUAAAAAGUACACACAUUUUAGUAUGUGUAAAACAAGGAAGCCAGCGGCAACACUUCCAACGAGCAGAUGGCGCAGAUAAAAAGGAUCACAACCAAAUUAAGGGUGAAUUGAAUCCCUGCCCAUAUAGAAGCACUUUGUACUGCAGGAAUCCGAGAGGCACAACACUUAAACAAAGGGGAGAAAGGAGGGAGAGAAAGGGAGAGUAGCGGAUGGAGAGGUAACACAAGAGGAGGAGGGAAAACAUUUGACGGAGAGACAAAGAGCAGUCUGGAGGAGAUGGCACGGAGGGUAACGAGGGCUCCUCUCUCUCUCCGCGGAGGACUGUCUGGAUGAAUCAUGUGACUUAAUGCCGUCCAGUUUAAACUAAUGGAGGGGGAAUUUAUGGUAACACUUAAAGAAUGAGAUCAAUAAGGUCAGUGCUUCCAGCGGCGAGGAGAUGGGGGCGAGCGCUGGCCCAACAGAGGGUCAAUAUCGUCCAAACGGGAUCCGUUACAGUCCUGUUACAGCAGUCGGGGAGGAAGAAAGGUCAAUGCCGGUUACCUGCGGCCUGGUGAGCAACCUCACAAAGUGAAUGCACGAACCCCCCUUUACCAUUUUCAGUCCCUUUGAGUGGCACAAACUCACUGCUCUUUGUGUGCCGCAAAAUUCAGCAUUUUUUUAAAGGAUAUGGGCCUAAUAGUCAUUUAGAUAGAUUUAUAACGUGCAAAUUAGUUGUCUUUGUCAUUGUUGUCAUUUAAAAUCUAAAAUGCUGUUUGGAUUAUGUUCAUCGCCAUGUUUCCUGGCAAAGUAAGUUCUACAUUGUUUUACCGAACGCAAUUUGGAUGAAGGUGAUCCGGAUGGAAAGAGAGUGCAGAGAGCUCAGGAAUUUGCCAUUAGAGGCCGGGGUCAGAGGGUGCGUGGUUCAGUUUAAGCAACAAAAGCAUUAAACGCUUGUGAGAGAUCCUGGUUCCGAUUAAAUGCAAAAAAAGAGAGGGAAUGUGCUUGUUCUUUAAGCUGUGGAGCUUUUCCCAUAUCAAACCUCGACUACAUUUGGUCCCUAUAGAGGAUUGUGAGAGCCAUAACAUGACCAUAAAAAAAGUUUAAUAAAGCUUAUACGAGGCAGUAUUGGUUUGCAAGAGAGGAAAUUGCCGGAAAAAAAUGGAUAAAAUGUGUUGUCGGUGAACAUUUGACCCAAGCUCUGAGCAUUCCCAUCUUUAGACAUGCCAGAUAUGACAGGUUUGUUUUCAUCCAUGAUGACGAAUGGAAUGGAAUUCAUGCGAUGCCUUUCUAUUGUUCCACCUACAUGUCAUCGCGCCUUGUAUGGCAGCCGCUGCUGAGGCCAUCUGCUCAUUGGGGGCUCAGAUAAGCGUUCACACACACACACUCGCACAACGAUGGCAGUGCGGACUUUAGGAGCAAUUUAGGGUUCAGUGUCCUUCGACACGCGGCCCCGUCGGACCGACGUCGGACAGUCUUGUGAUUGUCGGUUGACCUUCCCCGAGCCACAGCCGCCCACAUUUAUGUUAUGGUCAUACAAAGAAACUCAGUUCUAAAAAUACAUCAUAUUCAAAAGAGGGGGGAAAUUCCAUACAAGAAAACUUUAUUUAAUCCAGGUUUUGUUUAGUGACAAUAUUUAGUGUCCAGCAAUUUAAAAACCACUUCUUCCUACAAUACGUGCACAUUGAAACCGCCAUGGCUAAAGCUUGAGCUUCUAUCGACUGUUAGUAACGU
ensembl:lncRNA